rnacentral:lncRNA from 1 species
AGCGGAUCGACAAAACGCCGAUCCCGGAGGGCAGGGAAGCGGCGGAAGCAGGCAGCAGUCGACAGGUCACUCGUCAACCUCGAGGAGCCGCGUCUCGUGACCGUGUUGGGCGCAAAAGUUAGUUGAGAGCCAGCGGCGUAAACAACAGCCCAUUUUCUCUUGAACAGGGACUUGCAGUGCAGCUGCCCAGGAUGGGAAUGAGCACAUGCCGACGGGAUACGACGUCUACGCCUGGUCUGCUGGUUUAACACUAUAUGAUCUAUGCCAUCACGAGCCGGGUGACGUAGUGUGAUGCUUCCCUGUCCUGGAUCACCGCCCGGAUCUCUACUGUAUUGCGCUCUGCUGCGCCGGCGCGGGGCCACGCGCUUGUCACCACUGGAGCUGGACUCAGGUUCAGCCAUUCGGGAGAUUUUGUCACUCACUCCGCUACAGCAACGAGGCACAGGUGCCUGCCACUGUUGGAACCUGGACGGAAACGUGACCGUGAUACUCACGCGAGUUCACUAAUCACCUUUCCGAUGUGAGGAUGUGCACGAUAAUAUUACUGCGUAGUAGUGCAUGCUGCUCCGUGAAUUUCUUCUGUGGACACGGCGCUCAUUCACCUUGCCGGUUGCAGUUACCACCAGGUUAUACCGCUUAGCGAUUGUCAUCGACGGCUGGCUCUCUGGCGUGGGGCAGUCAGAACUCCAUAGAACUGGUAAGGCUGACCCGCUCAAGGAAAGGACACGAGAGACAAGGCAGCAGCCGCAGAGUCCCAAGACAAAAGCAGACAAGCAUGCCGCUAUCAACGGCGUUGGGUGAGGCGUCCCCGAAGCCACUGCCUUCCCCAGUCGAACCACGUCGUUCAGAUGCUGGAUGGUUGGUUGGCUGCGGUGAUGCACGUGCUGCCGGAGGGCCCGAAAGCUGCCUGGGAGAGGCACGCUGGACGCCUCUACGCUGGUCAUCACAUGCAGUUCCAGUUAAUACUUUUUGGUUCGUCCUCAGUGACCAGACACCUCACAUCGACGGGGCUAUGUUCCGGUAGUGGAUUGUGUCAUGACUUUACAGAUGGAAGACAACCCGUUGGAUUUCUGUUCUCUUGAAAAGUGGGACAGUCUACCUAUUGAAUUCACACGUUCUGUUCUCGUGACGGUGACGCCGCUGUGGAGGCCAAAGUCCACUGAUACGACUUUCAGGAUGACCGUCUUGGACUCAGAAGAUUAUAUUGUGUCGUGGAAACGUGCCCUUGCAGAAAGAGGUUUGGGUUUUGAGGACGACAGCAGACAGCAGGAUGGCCAUGAUUGGUGGAACCAUGCAUCGAUGAGCUUGAUGUACAUUAUCCAUUCUUUAGUGAAUGCCCCUUGAUGGUGCCAGGAUCGACGGGAGCACAGGUAUAUCGACGGUUUACGCGCACGCGCUAUCAUCAGUCCCCUGCUGAGUUUUCCGCCAGUAACGCCCCAAAGUACUCUCCCUUAGGAGGUGAGGCGAAGUCGACAGGGCAUGCAAGUGAGGUCUUCUCCGCUUGGACAGAUGUUGACAGUUUCUGGUCCAUGUUGUCAAGCACAUUGAUAGCGCACACAUGGCCUUUAUCGCUGAUCCGAAUCUCUCGUUUUUCUCUAUCUCCAUCCAUUCUUUCACAGUCGAUGGCCUGCGCAGUUGCACAAUUUCCCCUUUCCUGUACUGGAAGCAUAAUGAAAGGAAUGGAUGAAAACAAGGGCUCAUGCAUACGCUUGCUUGGCCUCCCCUACACGGAAGAUGCACACGGUCUAACGAAUCAACCGAACCACAGAAGCCUUCAGUUGAAUCUCCUGGCCGGGCCCGAAAGUGAUGCUGCCUGCGUGCUGACCGACAUUAUAUACCGGGGAACGACUAAAAUCAUCAGGUUCGCUUCAUGAUGAAGUUGCGAGGAUCCACGGGUUCGGCAUGGUGUUUUCAAACAAUGCCAGAACUGAGACAGAACAAGGCGAUUUACUAACAGAUACUCUCAUGCUGUUACCUUGCCCACCCGAUCAAGCUCUCGAGUUUUUCCGUAAGCUGCGCCACUCCAUGCGAACAGGAAGUGAGGACGAUACAGGCUCUGGUAUGGUGCAGAGUGUGCUACGGUCGCUUUUUGGCCGCUGCCGUGAAUGCACCGAACUUGAGUCGAUGGUAGACCGUCUCCACAUAGUCAGAUUGAAGAGGGUUGGUAUACUAGGCAGGACACGGUCUGGAUGAAUCGAAGACGUAUGACGAGCUCCAGAGUGUUUUGAGGGUGUUCCAAAUACGUCCC